CAGCCGCCGCGGUAAUACGAAGGGUGCAAGCGUUAAUCGGAAUUACUGGGCGUAAAGCGUGCGUAGGCGGUUUGUUAAGUCUGUUGUGAAAUCCCCGGGCUCAACCUGGGAAUGGCAAUGGAUACUGGCAAGCUAGAGUGUGUCAGAGGAUGGUGGAAUUCCCGGUGUAGCGGUGAAAUGCGUAGAGAUCGGGAGGAACAUCAGUGGCGAAGGCGGCCAUCUGGGACAACACUGACGCUGAGGCACGAAAGCGUGGGGAGCAAACAGGAUUAGAGACCCCCGUAGUCCCUGUCUCUUAUAC
rnacentral:rRNA from 1 species